UUAAGGUAAAGAAAUUUAAAAAAAUAUUUGUGUGUGUUAUAAACAUCUCUAAGUAAGCACUUCAGUUUAACGUUUUCUAUACUUUCUAUUUAUUUGCUUGUACAGUGUAGAAAUGAUUUAGAAGCAAACAACAUUUCCUAGCAAUCAGAACUAAGGAGAGAUAAUAAGAGUGACAUCGCUAUUUAUUAUAAGAGGAACUAAAAGUAAGAGGCAAAUUCUAGAAGAAAAAAGUAAACUGUGGCAAAUAAUCUAUAAACAAAUUCAGACAGAAAAGAAAGAGAAACAUACUGUACCAACAUAAAUUAUGGAUCCAAAGAACAGUAGUUUGAAAAGCAAAGAUGGUAAACAUGAAUCUCGCCCAAAAAGGACAUCAUGCAGAAUCUGUGGAAUGAUAUUUAUUACUUACGAUUACAUGAUACAACACGAACGUCGAUGUGUAAACUUAUCAGAGGGACCACGGAUAAUAAUUGAUUAAUUAUCAACUUGAAGAGUCAAUUAACAAGAUACAAAUAUUUUUUUUUAAAUUCAAGGAUAUUAGAGCUAAUUAUUCGUUUUUUUCUCAUGGUUUCUGUAAAGAUUUGUUUAUAUUAUAGCGCAACACAAAAUGAACGUGUUUGAAUGUGAA